rnacentral:rRNA from 1 species
UUGAACGCUGGCGGCAGGCUUAACACAUGCAAGUCGAGCGGGGGAAGGUAGCUUGCUACCGGACCUAGCGGCGGACGGGUGAGUAAUGCUUAGGAAUCUGCCUAUUAGUGGGGGACAACAUCUCGAAAGGGAUGCUAAUACCGCAUACGUCCUACGGGAGAAAGCAGGGGAUCUUCGGACCUUGCGCUAAUAGAUGAGCCUAAGUCGGAUUAGCUAGUUGGUGGGGUAAAGGCCUACCAAGGCGACGAUCUGUAGCGGGUCUGAGAGGAUGAUCCGCCACACUGGGACUGAGACACGGCCCAGACUCCUACGGGAGGCAGCAGUGGGGAAUAUUGGACAAUGGGGGGAACCCUGAUCCAGCCAUGCCGCGUGUGUGAAGAAGGCCUUAUGGUUGUAAAGCACUUUAAGCGAGGAGGAGGCUACUUUAGUUAAUACCUAGAGAUAGUGGACGUUACUCGCAGAAUAAGCACCGGCUAACUCUGUGCCAGCAGCCGCGGUAAUACAGAGGGUGCGAGCGUUAAUCGGAUUUACUGGGCGUAAAGCGUGCGUAGGCGGCUUAUUAAGUCGGAUGUGAAAUCCCCGAGCUUAACUUGGGAAUUGCAUUCGAUACUGGUGAGCUAGAGUAUGGGAGAGGAUGGUAGAAUUCCAGGUGUAGCGGUGAAAUGCGUAGAGAUCUGGAGGAAUACCGAUGG